rnacentral:rRNA from 1 species
ACUUAACUGAACCUUCGGGGAACGUUAAGGGCGUCGAGCGGCGGACGGGUGAGUAAUGCCUAGGAAAUUGCCCUGAUGUGGGGGAUAACCAUUGGAAACGAUGGCUAAUACCGCAUGAUGCCUACGGGCCAAAGAGGGGGACCUUCGGGCCUCUCGCGUCAGGAUAUGCCUAGGUGGGAUUAGCUAGUUGGUGAGGUAAUGGCUCACCAAGGCGACGAUCCCUAGCUGGUCUGAGAGGAUGAUCAGCCACACUGGAACUGAGACACGGUCCAGACUCCUACGGGAGGCAGCAGUGGGGAAUAUUGCACAAUGGGCGCAAGCCUGAUGCAGCCAUGCCGCGUGUGUGAAGAAGGCCUUCGGGUUGUAAAGCACUUUCAGUCGUGAGGAAGGUGGUAGUGUUAAUAGCACUAUCAUUUGACGUUAGCGACAGAAGAAGCACCGGCUAACUCCGUGCCAGCAGCCGCGGUAAUACGGAGGGUGCGAGCGUUAAUCGGAAUUACUGGGCGUAAAGCGCAUGCAGGUGGUUUGUUAAGUCAGAUGUGAAAGCCCGGGGCUCAACCUCGGAAUAGCAUUUGAAACUGGCAGACUAGAGUACUGUAGAGGGGGGUAGAAUUUCAGGUGUAGCGGUGAAAUGCGUAGAGAUCUGAAGGAAUACCGGUGGCGAAGGCGGCCCCCUGGACAGAUACUGACACUCAGAUGCGAAAGCGUGGGGAGCAAACAGGAUUAGAUACCCUGGUAGUCCACGCCGUAAACGAUGUCUACUUGGAGGUUGUGGCCUUGAGCCGUGGCUUUCGGAGCUAACGCGUUAAGUAGACCGCCUGGGGAGUACGGUCGCAAGAUUAAAACUCAAUGAAUUGACGGGGGCCCGCACAAGCGGUGGAGCAUGUGGUUUAAUUCGAUGCAACGCGAAGAACCUUACCUACUCUUGACAUCCAGAGAACUUUUCAGAGAUGA